GUGUAGAGGCGCAUGUGUCAAGAUUAACAGUUUGGACAGAUAAGGCUGGAGGAUAGACUGCGAAAGGGGCUCAUGCCGAAGAGAGAUAUUUCCUUAUGGAUAUCUUGUCUGGAUGUAUAGUUAAGAGCUAUAUGUCUGUCACCGAAAGAAGAUGAAUUGGUGGAGUACAGAUUAUUGUAUGAUGCCAGAUAUCAGGUGGAGUGCUAC
rnacentral:ncRNA from 1 species